rnacentral:rRNA from 1 species
UGGGGAAUAUUGCACAAUGGGCGCAAGCCUGAUGCAGCCAUGCCGCGUGUGUGAAGAAGGCCUUCGGGUUGUAAAGCACUUUCAGCGAGGAGGAAGGGUAGUGUGUUAAUAGCACAUUGCAUUGACGUUACUCGCAGAAGAAGCACCGGCUAACUCCGUGCCAGCAGCCGCGGUAAUACGGAGGGUGCAAGCGUUAAUCGGAAUUACUGGGCGUAAAGCGCACGCAGGGGGUUUGUUAAGUCAGAUGUGAAAUCCCCGCGCUUAACGUGGGAACUGCAUUUGAAACUGGCAAGCUAGAGUCUUGUAGAGGGGGGUAGAAUUCCAGGUGUAGCGGUGAAAUGCGUAGAGAUCUGGAGGAAUACCGGUGGCGAAGGCGGCCCCCUGGACAAAGACUGACGCUCAGGUGCGAAAGCGUGGGGAGCAAACA